UCCCUGGUAGCUCAAAAUGUAGAGAAUCUGCCUGUCAUGUAGAAGACUCAGGUUUGAUCCCUGGAUUGGGAA
rnacentral:tRNA from 1 species